rnacentral:rRNA from 1 species
GAUCAUGGCUCAGGAUGAACGCUGGCGGUGUGCCUAACACAUGCAAGUCGAACGAAGCUUGACGGAUGAUUUCUUCGGAAUGAAACCAGAUAUGACUUAGUGGCGGACGGGUGAGUAACACGUGAGCAACCUGCCUUUCAGAUGGGGAUAACGGCUGGAAACGGUCGCUAAUACCGCAUGACGUGUUCGGAUGGCAUCAUCUGAACAUCAAAGAUUUAUCG